CCUACGGGAGGCAGCAGUGAGGAAUAUUGGACAAUGGGCGAGAGCCUGAACCAGCCAAGUCGCGUGAGGGAAGAAGUUCCUCUGGAUUGUAAACCUCUUUUGCCGGGGAGCAAAAAGCGGUACGUGUACCGCAUCGAGAGUCCCCGGAGAAAAAGCAUCGGCUAACGCCGUGCCAGCAGCCGCGGUAAUACGGAGGAUGCGCGCGUUAUCCGGAUUUAUUGGGUGUAAAGGGUGCGUAGGCGGAUUUUUAAGUGAGCGGUAAAACGUCCGGGCUCAACCCGUGCCGGCCGUUGAAACUGGGGAUCUUGGGUGGGCGAGAAGUAUGCGGAAUGCGUAGUGUAGCGGUGAAAUGCAUAGAUAUCACGCAGAACGCCGAUUGCGAAGGCAGCCUACCGGCGCCCGACUGACGCUGAGGCACGAAAGCGUGGGGAUCGAACAGGAUUAGAUACCCUUGUAGUC
rnacentral:rRNA from 1 species